UAUUGGACAAUGGGCGCAAGCCUGAUCCAGCCAUGCCGCGUGAGUGAUGAAGGCCUUCGGGUUGUAAAGCUCUUUUGGCGGGGACGAUGAUGACGGUACCCGCAGAAUAAGCCCCGGCUAACUUCGUGCCAGCAGCCGCGGUAAGACGAAGGGGGCUAGCGUUGUUCGGAAUUACUGGGCGUAAAGCGAGUGUAGGUGGUUGUCCAAGUUGGAUGUGAAGCCUUAGCUCAACUCAAGAAAUGCAUUCAGACUGAUGGCAGGGACCGGAGAGGAUAGUGAAUUCCCAGUGAGUGGUAAAUCGAAAUUGGAAGACACCAGUGGCAAGGCGGCAUCUGGCGGUUCUGACAAAGCUAAA
rnacentral:rRNA from 1 species